UGAUACCCUUCUGCACAUCCCCGCAUCCAUUUUCUUAACUUCUGCUGUGCGACAUGUAAUAAUAACUUAGAUUUGUAUAGCACCUUUCAAGGAAAUUCAAGCAUUAUUUACAAAAAAGUAAGUAAAUCAAAAAAAAGGUUAGAGGUUGAAGGUCUUGUUGAAGAGGUGAGAUUUGAGGAGAACUCAUCGCUGGGCUCUCUGCAACGCCCCCAGUGAACAAGCACUGCAGAGCUCAGAUAGGAGAGAGGGUAGGCGCUGCCACACUGAAGGCUCCGUCCUCAAAGCUGCGGAGGUUGGUGUGAGGCACGGAAAGCAGAGACGUGGCUCGGCGUCUGAGGCUGUGUGUUUGGGUGAAGGAGGUCGGACAGAUACUGAGGAGCCGGGGCGCUGAGAGAUUUUCUUCACAUGCAGCGUGCAGCUUUGGAAACUGGACUCUUCGAUUGAAACUGCUGAAAGCUGCCCAGCCAUGGCUAGAUCCUCCACAUGACAUCUGGCUGACUUUGAAACAGGAGUUGAGGUUUACUCUUUGCAAAAGUUUAAAGUCAGUGGUGAAAUAGGUGAAAUAAAUUUAUAUUUACAUGAAUUUCUUGUGUGAACUUCCUUUUUGUCACCGGCUUUGAGCCAGUUCAUGACAGACUUGGUUCUCAGGAGGAUGUGUUGUGUGUUUUUGCCUUCACCUCUCUCUCAUCAGGGUGGAGCUGGACCUAGCUCCCCGCCUCUGAACCCACCUUCAAUGCACACCUGCUGCUCAUCUACGUUAACCAUACACUGGCUUCUCUUCGUGACUCUUCAGACUACUUAAGACAGCAGGAGGCUCUGCUUCUUCGCUGGAUUGUUGCGCUAACUAGUACUUUCCAGACCCCAGCCUGCUUUUUGGACCCCUGUGGAUGUGAGUGAGCGUAUUAGAUUGGACUGCUUGAGUUUUGAGUCACGGACGGUGUGAAGAAGAUUGUGAGCGUGUGCCUGCCCUGGACCCCCGCCCCACCCUUGGAUUUCCUGGAGCCCUGUGUUGUCCCAUUUCACUAUGUAUAUGUAUAUAUCUUCACCUGGUGCGACACUGUAAAUAAACCUUUCACUUUUUCACUAGUUCUGAAUUUUGCAAUUAAGUCCUCCACCAAACAUACUGUGACACAGAAGCCUUCUGGACAGCAAAAAUUAGAUUCACUAAGGUAUCUGAUUAUUUAGAGUUCGUUCCCAGAAAUAUUUGGAUACAUUUCACAGAUCAACCAAUUAGCUGUGAAAUGUAACUAUGUAACUGUGAUUACCAUUUUAAUGGGAUAGGUCCUCAAGGCACUUUGUGUGAGAUAAGGGAUAGAUUGUGGUUUUAAAAUUGAUGGGGAAAAGAGGCAUUUAGCUAAAA